UACGUAGGGUGCAAGCGUUGUCCGGAAUUAUUGGGCGUAAAGAGCUCGUAGGCGGUUUGUCGCGUCGAAUGUGAAAAACCCCGGGGGCUCAACCCCCGGGCUUGCGGUCGAUACGGGCAGGCUGGAGUUCGGUAGGGGAGACUGGAAUUCCUGGUGUAGCGGUGAAAUGCGCAGAUAUCAGGAGGAACACCGGUGGCGAAGGCGGGUCUCUGGGCCGAACUGACGCGCUGAGGAGCGAAAGCGUGGGGAGCGAACAGG
rnacentral:rRNA from 1 species